UACGUAGGAUCCAAGCGUUGUCCGGAUUUACUGGGUGUAAGGGGUGCGCAGGCGGACUUAUAAGUCAGGGGUGAAAUCUCGCUGCUCAACAGCGAAACUGCCUUUGAUACUGUAGGUCUUGAAUUAGGGAGAGAUUCGUGGAAUUCCGAGUGUAGCAGUGAAAUGUGUAGAUAUUCGGAAGAACACCAGAGGCGAAGGCAGCGAAUUGGCCCUAUAAUUGACGCUCAGGCACGAAAGCAUGGGGAUCAAACAGG
rnacentral:rRNA from 1 species